rnacentral:lncRNA from 1 species
AUGGAUUAUUUGGAACCAAAACAAUAUUGGGUGUUGAAGUAGAAGUCCUGGGAGUGCAUUCUGAUGAAGAACAGCAAAGGCAAUCAAUAUGCUUUCCAUCAGAUCUUUGGACAAAAUUGUUUUGAUAAUUGUCCUCUGCAGCUUACACACAGAGGCGAGACCAAUGAGGUUGCAAUGGUUAUUCUCUGGCCAACAGAAAGAGGUCCAUCAGUGAGGUCCAGCUCAUGCACAACGUGGGAGUACACAAGCAGGUGGGGGAGAGACAAGACUGGCUUCAGCUGAAGUUAAAGGAUAUAAUUGCAGCCUCACACGCCACAGCACAACAACAUGGACAAUCAGGGAAGAUCCGGAGUCUGCUUCCUGAUGAUCUCACAGGACUGAGCCUGUAUACAAGUUAAGCCUCAGUACUCAGGGUUUGUCUUCUCUUCAGUCUUACACAAGUAAUACCUCGUAAAAAAAACAGUUGAAAUUUCACAAUGAAACUUGUGAAACUCAUUUUAGUUUUAGAUAUUUUCUAAAUUAUUAUUCUAAUGAUGUUUUUAUUAAUGUAUUUACUGUUUAUUUAUAUUUUAUAUUCAUUUCCUGGUUUUUCUGCAUUUGAAUUAACAAGACAUUUUGUUUAUGACCACUACCUGGACUAAAGCACACAGAACAGUAUAUAUUUUUUUACACCACUUUACCACCUUUACCUCCUACUACACCGGCUCUGACACUCGUCGGAUGUGGCAGGGCUUGAAAACUAUUACGGACUACAAAGGGAAACCUAGACUUGAGCUGCCCAGUGACGCAAGCCUACCAGAUGAGCUAAAUGCCUUCUUUGCUUGCUUCGAGGCAAGCAACGCUGACGCACGCACGAGAGCACCAGCUGUUCUGGAUGACUGUGUGAUAAUGCUCUCGGUAGCCGAUGUGAGCAAGACUUUUAAACAGGUCAACAUUCACAAAGCCGUGGGGCCAGAUGGAUUACCAGGACGUGUACUCAAAGCAUGCGCGGACCAACUGGCAAGCGUCUUCCCUGACAUUUUCAACCUCUCCCCGACUGAGUCUGUAAUACCUACAUGUUUCAAGCAGACCACCAUAGUCCCUGAGCCCAAGGAAGCGAAGGUAACCUGUCUAAAUGAUUACCGCCCCAUAGCGCUCACGUGGGUAGCCAUGAAGUGCUUUGAAAGGCUGGUCAUGACUCAUAUCAACAGCAUCCUUCCGGAUACCCAAGACCCACUCCAAUUCACAUACCACCCCAACAGAUCCAUAGAUGACGCAAUCUCAAUUGCACUCCACACUGCCCUUUCCCACCUGGACAAAAGGAACACCUAUGUGACAAUGCUGUUCAUUGACUACAGCUCAGUGUUCAACACCAUAGUGCCCACGAAGCUCAUCACUAAGCUAAGGAUCCUGGGACUAAACACCUCCCUCUGCAACUGGAUCCUGGACUUCCUGACGGGUCACCCCAGGUAGUAAGGGUAGGCAACAACACGUCUGCCACACUGAUCCUCAACACUGGGGCCCCUCAGGGGUGUGUACUUAGUCCCCUCCUGUAGUCCCUGUUCACCCACGACUGCGUAGCCAAACACGACUCCAACACCAUUAUUACGUUUGCUGAUGACACAACAGUGGUAGGCCUGAUCACCGAUAACAAUGAAACAGCCUAUAGGGAGGAGGUCAGAGAACUGGCAGUGUGGUGCCAGGACAACAACCUCUUCCUCAAUGUGAGCAAGAUAAAGAAGCUGAUUGUGGACUACAGGAAAAGGCGGGCCGAACAGGCCCUCAUUAACAUCAACGGGGCUGUAGUGGAGCGGGUUGAGAGUCUCAAGUUCCUUGGUGUCUACAUCGCCAACGAUCUAUCAUGGUCCAAACACAACAAGACAGUUGUGAAGAGGGCACGACAAAACAUUUUCCCCCUCAGGAGACUGAAAAGAUUUGGUAUUGGUCCCCAGAUCCUCAAAAGUUCUACAGCUGCACCAUCGAGAGCAUCCUGACUGGUUGCAUCACCACCUGGUAUGGCAACUGCUCGGCAUCUGACUGUAAGGCGCUACAGAGGGUAGUGCGUACAGCCCAGUACAUCACCGGGGCCAAACUUCCUCCCAUCCAGGACCUAUAUAAUAGGCGGUGUUAGAGGAAAGCCCAUAAAAUUGUCAAAGACUCCAGCCACCCUAGUCAUAGACUGUUUUCUCUGCUACUGCACGGCAAGCGGUACUGCAACGCCAAGUCUAGGACCAACAGGCUCCUUAACAGCUUCUACCCCCAAGCCAUAAGACUGCUGAACAACUAAUAAAAUGGCCACCGGACUAUUACAUU